UCAAGUGUGUGCAAAAACAUGGAAAACUACCCAAAACCAGUCAUCUCAAAACCUUAGACCCCUAUCUGGACAAAGAAGGACUCCUUAGAGUAGGUGGUCGCAUCAGAGACUCAAACAUUAGCCAAGGUGAGAAAAACCCUCUCAUAGUUCCUGGCCACCACCAUGUUGCAGCGCUUCUCAUAAAGCACUACCACGAGCAGACCCAGCAUCAAGGUCGCCUUUUCACAGAAGGAGCCGUUCGCUCCGCAGGAUGGUGGAUAGUGGGCGGUAAAAGAAAAGUGAGCACAAUCAUCUAUCAUUGUGUUACCUGCAAAAGACUUCGUGCCCCUUUGAGCACACAGAAAAUGUCAAACCUCCCUCCAGACCGUCUCACAACGGAUCCCCCGUUCACGAAUGUGGGCUUAGAUGUGUUUGGUCCGUGGUUUGUGUCUUCACGACGUACAAGAGGAAGCGUCAACCAGAAUAAAAGGUGGGCUGUCAUAUUCACUUGUUUGAGUAUUAGAGCAGUUCACAUUGAAGUGGUAGAGUCACUUGAUACAUCUAGCUUCAUUAAUGCAUUCCGACGAUUUCUGGCCGUGAGGGGACCAGUGAAAACUGUUCGCUCUGAUCGAGGCACCAAUUUUGUAAGUGCAUGUAAAGAACUGAAAAUCCCUUCAAACUUGGACAACACAGCUGUGCACACCUUCUUAAAAGAACAUGGAUGUAAAUGGACUUUUAACCCACCUCAUGCCUCCCAUUUCAGCGGAGCAUGGGAGAGAAUGAUAGGUUUAGCACGGAGAAUAUUGGACUCUGUUUUUUCAGCUUAAGACCACUAAACUCACUCAUGAGGUUCUCGUCACCUUCAUGGCAGAGGUGGCUGCUAUCAUAAACUGUAGACCCCUCGUCCCGGUUUCAUCAGACCCAAGUGACCCCUUUAUCUUGACUCCAGCUGUUCUCCUGACUCAAAAGGUAGCACCCCUUCAGGCUCCAGCUGAAAAAUUCACAGCAUCAGACCUCUACAAACAUCAGUGACGCCAGGUUCAGCACCUGUCGAACAUCUUCUGGGACAAAUGGAGGAAAGAGUUUCUCCCUACCCUACAGCCACGCCGCAAAUGGCAGUCUAGCCAGCCUAACGUGAGCUUAGGAAGUGUUGUGGUACUCAAAGACAGUCGAGUGCCAAGAAAUGAGUGGCCUCUUGGUCUCAUAACUAAGGUGUUCCCAAGUAAAGAUGGUAAAAUACGUACCGUGGAAAUUAAGGUAGUUAAAUCAGAUGGUACAAAGGUGUUGACCAGACCUAUCUCAGAGAUCGUACCCUUGGUGCCUUCUUAACGUGUUGUUUUCUUCAACGUUUAAUCGUGGCGUUAUUCACGCCAGGCGGGGAGUGUUCUGUAUCACUAAAAUAUUAUUCCCAGUACGUUGUUAGUUAUUAUGUGUUUUAGCGCCCUCUGUGGUCGUUUCAAGUAAUGCACCGUAGAAAUGGUUUGUUUUGAAACAACUUUAUUGAACAGGAAGUCAGCUCAAGGAAAGCAAGCGAGCGAAAGAAAGGGAGACAUAUCGGCACACGGCUUAUGGUGUCCUGUCGGAAAAUUUACUGUCUACAUCUUUGGUUUACGGUUGUAUCGCCGUUUUACCCUUUUGAAUGUCAGUAAACCUGUUGACAACGCCCAUCGGUCUUCAGAGUGGUGAUAUGAGAAAGGUGUUCACGCCCUUGCAUCAGACAUGCAACCGUAACGGCACACUUAGCAUGAUUGAGAUGCAGAGGUUCAGUACUUUACACACAGUUUUAACAGUUAAAACACCCUUAAGAGCUCAGCUGAAGCUUGUAUAUGAACAACUGUAAAUGCAUGUAGUGAAAACCUUAGGCAUUACUCUCUAACUGAAUGAAUUUGACACAAAAUACUCAGAAAAAAGGCACUGUUAAGCCUUGCUUAGAUUUUUUUUUGAAAUAGAUAUUUGAUCUGUGAUUCUUUGGAAUUAGCCCAACUUUAAAUUACUGCUUGAAGAAUCUAGUACAAGUAACUUCUUAGGCCAAGCAUGUACUUCUUUUACAACUUUGAAUUUGCAGUUAAAUCUUUUCGAAGCACUUGUAAUACAUUAUGAGCCUUCUACUGAAGUGUUUCAGCUUUGUGUAAAAUGCAUGGUAGGACACCUAACCACAUUUAGAUCUUAUCAUUUAUUCCUUUCAUGGUGCCUAAAAUUUAUAGAGGAUUCAAAACCGCUCUUAGGGUUUCACUGGGGCUCUGAGCAGAUUCGCAUUCUCAUUCUAAAUAUGUUCACAUGAGACACGAUGGCUUUGGAAAUAUAUACAGCUUCUCUUGUAAUUGAAAAACUAUAGCUCAGUCAGUUACCAUAACAACUGGAAAUCUGCCAUAGUAACAGUAGCAUAUUCUUCUGCAUCAUAUAUGCAACAAAUUACUUAGAUGUCAAAAGUGUGACACUUGAAUUGUUAUUUGCUUUACAUUUAUACAGAUAAGAUGAUGACGAUCAUUUUAUGUGCAUCUCAGUUUCAAUACAACAAAUCCAGAAACAUGUUUUCAGCAAAACUUUAUUUUUCAGUGCAUGAACAGAAUACCAUAUCAAGGUCAUUGCCUAUCCUUUUCAAUCCAUUUUUAAAUAUUUUUCUCUUUUUUUACAUAAAAAAAUAAUGGAGCGAUUUAAUAUACCUCUAUUUUUUUCUCCCCAAAAGAGCACUCGGCAAGUAUUUAUAAAGGUGCUGUACAAUGUACAAACAUUUACAUCUACUGUUCCUACAGAAUGUAGAAGAUACCACAAGGAUUGUGUUUUUCUUUUUUCUUUUUUUUUCUAAUGAAGCAAUGCAAGGCCACAGUAUGAUGCAGAGAUGUCAAACAAAAUUGUUCAAAUGAAAGCAUAAAGCUGUACUACAGUGCAGGGGACAUACAAUAAAAGAGGAUAUUAUCUGA